rfam:TPA: Bos taurus chromosome 15, whole genome shotgun sequence.
UCCCUUGUGGCUGAGCUGGUAAAGAAUCUGCCUGCAAUGCAGAAGACCUGGGUUCGAUCCCUGGGUUGGGAA